GCCAGUGGAGUGGAGUGGUUUGAAUGUUGGAGUAUGACUCUGGAGACCAGGGUUCAAAUCCCUGCUCAGACA